AAAAAAAAAAAAAUACCUAGGAAUAUGCGUCUCCAUAAAGCAAAUGUCUGCCGCAUUUUCAAAUAAAAUUUAUCGUGGUAUCAACGUGUAAGGGAGUGAUGCAAGGGAAAUAUGUGGAAAGGCGGUUUCCACGCGGCUCUGAGGUAAGAAUGUAAGAACGCAAGUUAGGUCUUAUCGCAUCGAAAUCCACCGUUUCACUGGCAUGACGGUGCUUUAUCCAGCGGAAAGAGCUUCUAAUAUCGCAUGCCGUUUAUCGAUUUAUCCCUGGGACGACACACCACCGACACGUAUUGCGGAUCGUACGUUUCCAGUAGCAUUCGUGGCAUUUCCUCCAACAGUUCCAACGGCGAAUUCGAUUUACAUAAGAAUUUCUGACUGUGUUCUGACGCUUUUCGAGAAAAAGAAAGAGGAGGGA